AACAAAAAACACAACAAACAAAAACAAACAAACAACCCACACACAAGUACAACAAACAGAAAUCCAAUCGUUUCGUGAUGUAUGUGCCUUGUAUUUGACGAUAAUAGCCCGGGAGUUGUUUUAUGGUAUGAAGCCCCAUGCUUUGUGAAUUGUUAAUCAUUCCUAUAACAGAAAGUAGAUAUUUCCAGUAGUGUAAAGAUGAUUUAUUUCAAUUUAAUAUAGACACUAUAAAACGAACAGGUGAAAUUGUCUUUUAAUAGAACUUUCACCCAUAUCAAUUGCUGCACUCGAUUCAGCAACUGCUGAACCACAAGGAACGACAGCCGAACUAGAAGCAAUGACAGCCGAAUCAGAAGCAAUGACAGCCGAACCACAAGGAACGACAGAACUGUCACCCAUAUCAAUUGCUGUACUCGAUUCAGCAACUGCUGAACCACAAGGAACGACAGCCGAACCAGAAGCAAUGACAGCCGAACCAGAAGCAAUGACAGCCGAACCACAAGGAACGACAGACAGCAAAGGAGAGGGCUUAAAGGCGUCUUAGGCAACACCUCUCUGAUGAUUGAGAUUAUUUAAAAAUCAGAAAAUGUCCAGAACAGUCAUGUACCUGUUCCUGUUUUCCUUGAGAAGCUAAACCUCGUAAAUUUACCACAAUAAAGAGACAUUAAAGCAUA